GACGAACGCUGGCGGCGUGCUUAACACAUGCAAGUCGAACGGAAAGGCCCUGCUUUUGUGGGGUGCUCGAGUGGCGAACGGGUGAGUAACACGUGAGUAACCUGCCCUUGACUUUGGGAUAACUUCAGGAAACCGGGGCUAAUACCGGAUAGGAGCUCCUGCUGCAUGGUGGGGGUUGGAAAGUUUCGGCGGUUGGGGAUGGACUCGCGGCUUAUCAGCUUGUUGGUGGGGUAGUGGCCUACCAAGGCUUUGACGGGUAGCCGGCCUGAGAGGGUGACCGGCCACAUUGGGACUGAGAUACGGCCCAGACUCCUACGGGAGGCAGCAGUGGGGAAUAUUGCACAAUGGGCGGAAGCCUGAUGCAGCAACGCCGCGUGCGGGAUGACGGCCUUCGGGUUGUAAACCGCUUUCGCCUGUGACGAAGCGUGAGUGACGGUAAUGGGUAAAGAAGCACCGGCUAACUACGUG
rnacentral:rRNA from 1 species